rnacentral:rRNA from 1 species
GAGUUUGAUCCUGGCUCAGAUUGAACGCUGGCGGCAUGCCUAACACAUGCAAGUCGAACGGUAACAGGUCUUCGGGUGCUGACGAGUGGCGGACGGGUGAGUAAUGCGUAGGAAUCUGUCUUUUAGUGGGGGACAACCCAGGGAAACUUGGGCUAAUACCGCAUGAGCCCUGAGGGGGAAAGCGGGGGAUCUUCGGACCUCGCGCUAAGGGAGGAGCCUACGUCUGAUUAGCUAGUUGGUAGGGUAAAGGCCUACCAAGGCGACGAUCAGUAGCUGGUCUGAGAGGACGACCAGCCACACUGGGACUGAGACACGGCCCAGACUCCUACGGGAGGCAGCAGUGGGGAAUUUUUCGCAAUGGGGGCAACCCUGACGAAGCAAUGCCGCGUGGAUGAAGAAGGCCUUCGGGUUGUAAAGUCCUUUCGUGGGGGACGAAAAGGCGGGUCCUAAUACGAUCUGCUGUUGACGUGAACCCAAGAAGAAGCACCGGCUAACUCCGUGCCAGCAGCCGCGGUAAUAC